UACGGGGGGGGUAAGCGUUGUUCGGAAUUACUGGGCGUAAAGGGUUUGUAGGUGGCCCGCUAAGUCACACGUGAAAUCCCUCAGCUUAACUGGGGAACUGCGUGUGAGACUGGCAGGCUCGAGGGCAGGAGAGGAACGCGGAAUUCCAGGUGUAGCGGUGAAAUGCGUAGAUAUCUGGAGGAACACCGGUGGCGAAGGCGGCGUUCUGGACUGUCUCUGACACUGAAGAACGAAAGCCAGGGGAGCAAACGGG
rnacentral:rRNA from 1 species